UACGUAGGUGGCAAGCGUUGGCCGGAUUUACUGGGCGUAAAGAGCGCGCAGGCGGUCGAUCAAGUCGCGUGUGAAAGCCCCCGGCUCAACUGGGGAGGGUCACGCGAUACUGAUCGACUCGAAGGCAGGAGAGGGUAGUGGAAUUCCCGGUGUAGUGGUGAAAUGCGUAGAUAUCGGGAGGAACACCAGUGGCGAAGGCGACUACCUGGCCUGUUUCUUGACGCUGAGGCGCGAAAGCUAGGGGAGCAAACGGG
rnacentral:rRNA from 1 species